UAGGAACCUUCAAAUUACAUGGGCAGGAGAAUUACUCACACACUACAAAACACCGAUAUAUCUAAGAGUAACCCUUGAUAGGACAUUAACAUUUAAAUUUAAUUGUGAAAACACUGCCAAAAAGAUAAACACCCGAAAAUGGUUGCUUUGCAAGCUGACUGGAUCAACCUGGGAUGAUCAACCGCACGCACUACGAGUGUCAGCUUU